AAACAAGUUGUCCUGAGGCGAAGAUGUAACGGGGCUCAAGUGAUGCACCGAAGCUUAGGGUGUACAGUUUACUGUACGCGGUAGCGGAGCGUUCCGUAAGCGAGUGAAGGAGAAGGGUAACCGACUCUGGACGUAUCGGAAGUGCGAAUGCUGACAUGAGUAGCGACAAAGAGGGUGAGAUGCCCUCUCGCCGAAAGACCAAGGGUUCCUGCUCAACGCUAAUCGGAGCAGGGUUAGCCGGCCCCUAAGACGAGCCCGAAGGGGGUAGUCGAUGGGAACCACGUAAAUAUUCGUGGGCCUGAAGAUGUGUGACGG
rnacentral:rRNA from 1 species